rnacentral:rRNA from 1 species
UACGAAGGGGGCUAGCGUUGCUCGGAAUCACUGGGCGUAAAGCGCACGUAGGCGGCUUGUUAAGUCAGGGGUGAAAUCCUGGAGCUCAACUCCAGAACUGCCUUUGAUACUGGCGAGCUUGAGUUCGGGAGAGGUGAGUGGAACUCCGAGUGUAGAGGUGAAAUUCGUAGAUAUUCGGAAGAACACCAGUGGCGAAGGCGGCUCACUGGUCCGGUACUGACGCUGAUGUGCGAAAGCGUGGGGAGCAAACAGG